rnacentral:rRNA from 1 species
GAUAAACGCUGGCGGCGUGCCUAACACAUGCAAGUCGAACGCGCUCUUCUCUUCGCAAGAGGGGGGAGUGAGUGGCGGACGGGUGAGUAACACGUGGAUACCUUCCUCUCAGUGAGGAAUACCCCCGAGAAAUCGGGGACAAGACCGCAUAUGCUUGUAAAAGCAAAGUCGCUUCGGUGACGCCUCGAGAUGAGUCUGCGUCCGAUUAGCUAGUUGGUAGGGUAAGAGCUUACCAAGGCGACGAUCGGUAGCUGGUCUGAGAGGAUGAUCAGCCACA